rnacentral:rRNA from 1 species
CCUACGGGUGGCUGCAGUGGGGAAUAUUGCACAAUGGGCGCAAGCCUGAUGCAGCCAUGCCGCGUGUGUGAAGAAGGCCUUCGGGUUGUAAAGCACUUUCAGCGGGGAGGAAGGCGUUAAGGUUAAUAACCUUGUCGAUUGACGUUACCCGCAGAAGAAGCACCGGCUAACUCCGUGCCAGCAGCCGCGGUAAUACGGAGGGUGCAAGCGUUAAUCGGAAUUACUGGGCGGAAAGCGCACGCAGGCGGUCUGUCAAGUCGGAUGUGAAAUCCCCGGGCUCAACCUGGGAACUGCAUUCGAAACUGGCAGGCUAGAGUCUUGUAGAGGGGGGUAGAAUUCCAGGUGUAGCGGUGAAAUGCGUAGAGAUCUGGAGGAAUACCGGUGGCGAAGGCGGCCCCCUGGACAAAGACUGACGCUCAGGUGCGAAAGCGUGGGGAGCAAACAGGAUUAGAUACCCCAGUAGUC